rnacentral:lncRNA from 1 species
UUUUGAUUUCAAAGAUAUAAUUUCAUUAAAGUUUUCUGAACAAAUUGGUUAAGUCAGCUCUGCUUAGCCUGAAUUCUGCUUGGAAAACUGAAAGAGAGGUCAGACGUGCAAAGACCACUUCAGCUUGUGACCUUCACUAUAGUCAGCAAGGUUGCUUAAACUUCAGGCUUCAUCACUAAGUUGAAAUGACACAGGAAAACCUGAAAUGGCUCUUUAGGUCCGCCAUCACAACAGCCAUGAAACCUGGACUGUUCAACCCUUGCUGUAUAUUCACUGGACAUGGCUAAUGCACCUUCUGAACAACCCAGGAGGGAUGUUCUACUUAUAUACAUCACUUUAAUUUCUCUGCACCAGUCUAAUUCCUGGCAUUGGACUAAGGAGGAGUUUUAGUGGAAACAUCUGUGUACAUCAGAAUUACACUUCUGGGUAACAUUCAUGAUCUUUUAUUUUUCCAGUCCAAUGAAUUACAUAAUUAGGAGCACAGUAAAGUUUUGUUGAAUUGGUUAUUAUUGAAU